rnacentral:rRNA from 1 species
CAGGCCUAACACAUGCAAGUCGAACGGUAACAGGCCUUCGGGCGCUGACGAGUGGCGAACGGGUGAGUAAUGCAUCGGAACGUGCCCAGUCGUGGGGGAUAACGCAGCGAAAGCUGUGCUAAUACCGCAUACGAUCUGCGGAUGAAAGCGGGGGACCUUCGGGCCUCGCGCGAUUGGAGCGGCCGAUGUCAGAUUAGCUAGUUGGUGGGGUAAAGGCCCACCAAGGCGACGAUCUGUAGCUGGUCUGAGAGGACGACCAGCCACACUGGGACUGAGACACGGCCCAGACUCCUACGGGAGGCAGCAGUGGGGAAUUUUGGACAAUGGGCGCAAGCCUGAUCCAGCAAUGCCGCGUGCAGGAAGAAGGCCUUCGGGUUGUAAACUGCUUUUGUACGGAACGAAAAGGUUCGGGUUAAUACCCUGGGCUCAUGACGGUACCGUAGAAUAGCACCGGCUA